UAACUCCACGUCUAGACACCAAACUUUAUGAGAACUAGAUUAUAUUAAGCUAGUUUUCUCAAAAAUAAGGGAAGGGGUCCUCUAGGUCCUGAAAUCGGUUAAUAACAAUAACAUGUUUAAUGCAGCUGCAAUGUAGUAUAAUGAUUAUGUACUCAUGGUUCACUUUUUAAUGGAGCUUCAGUGUAUUAUAAUAACUCUAUACUUGUGGUUCACAUUCACCAAUUCUGCUCUCUAUCACCCUGUUAGAACUUAGAAGCUUAAGCUUGAUCCAUCAUACAAUUGUUAACUGUAUCAGCUAUUUAAAGCCUACACAAAUGCUGAUUUGCAAUCAAGUUGUAAUUGCAAGUUGAGAGACAGGCUAAGUAACAGCGAGUCAGUGAUGUACAAAUGCUAAUAUAUCAACAAAUUACUUUAACAUGUGAAAAAUGAAUUUGAACUUAAUAUUACCUAGAUCUGCGUGGCAUGCGCUAACUGACAGCAAAAUGCAUAACAACAUGCAAACUGCAUGUUUCUACUUCUAGUGCAUCUUACCGGUCGAUAAUUUGUGGGAGGAAUUUUUCUUGUUACUCCUACUCAGCAAUAUAUGUAUACACGUAUUACGGAUAGAAUUCAAGUCAUAGAAUAGUAUUGACAUUUGACGUUUGAUCUUGAAGGAUUUUUGGGCCUGGAGGAG
rnacentral:lncRNA from 1 species